UAGAUGAUCCGAUUAGCAAGUACUUGGAUUGGGUUAAUCACCAAGCCGUCCGAUCAUAGGAGCAAGAAAGGUUUAAAAGUUCUCUCUUUCCAUUCGAUGGGAUGCUCUUAUGAUGUGUAGGGGUGCCAUAUGAUUAGAUCUCAUGAAGAAGAACAUGAAAGAAAAAUCUUAUUUUUCUACAAAAUCCUAGAUCUUGAAAUCCUAGAUUUAUUGUAUGUGAUACAAAGUUG
rnacentral:lncRNA from 1 species